UACGAAGGGGGCAAGCGUUGUUCGGAAUUACUGGGCGUAAAGGGCGCGCAGGCGGCCGAUCAAGUCAGAUGUGAAAGCCCCGGGCUCAACCUGGGAAUAGCAUUUGGGACUGGUCGGCUAGAGUUCGGGAGAGGAGAGUGGAAUUCCCAGUGUAGAGGUGAAAUUCGUAGAUAUUGGGAAGAACACCGGUGGCGAAGGCGGCUCUCUGGACCGACACUGACGCUGAGGAGCGAAAGCGUGGGGAGCGAACAGG
rnacentral:rRNA from 1 species